ACAAAAUCCCAUAUGUGCCCAUAGACCUCAUACGGGCUCCAUAGACCCCAUACAGGCCCCACAACCCCAUAUGGGCCCCAUAUACCCCAUUCAGGCCCCACAACACCAUAUAAGAGCCAUAGAACCCAUACAGGCAUCACAACCCUAUAUGUGACCCAUAGAUUCCAUAAAGGUCCCAAAACUCCAUAUGGGCCCCACAAAUCCAUAUAGGCACCAUAGAGCCCAUAUGGGACCCAUAGACCCACAUAGGCCCCAUAGACCCCAUACAGGCCCCACAAACCCAUAAGGGUCCCAUAGACUCCAUAGAGGCCCCACCACCCCAUAUAGGGCACACAACUCCAUACUAGCCCCAAAACCACAUAUGAGUCCCUUAGACCCCAUACAGGGACCCCAAACCCAUACAGGCCCCAUAGACCCCAUAUGGGCCCCAUAGACCCCAGACAGACCAUACAACCCAAUACAGGCCCCACAAACCUAUAUGGGCCCCAUAGACUCCAUACAGGCCCAACAACCUCAUAUGAACCCCAUGGACCCCAUAUUGGCCCCACAACACCAUAUGGGCCCUAUAGACCCCAUUGACCCCAUUCAGGCCCCAAAACACCAUACAGGGCCAACAACCCGAUAUGGACCCUAUAGACCCCAUACAGGAUCCACAACCCCAUACUGUCCCCACAACCCCAUAUGGGCCCCAUAGGCCCCAUACAUGCCCCACAACCCCAUAUGGGUCCCAUUGACCCCAUACUGUCUUCACAACCCCAUAUAGGCCCCACAACGUCACAUGGGCGCCAUAGACCCCAUACAAGCACCACAGAUUCCAAACAGGCCCCACAACCCCAUACAGUCCCCACAGAGAAUCACAGAAUGACCUGGGUUGGAAGGGACCUCAAGGAUCUUGCAGUUCCAACCCCCCUGUCUAGCAGGGCCACCAAAUGUGCGCAAGAACUUCUUUACGGUGAUGGUGACGGAGCACUGGAACAGGCUGCACAGGGAGGUGGUGGAGUCUCCUUCUCUGGAGAUAUUCAAGACCAGCCUGGAUGCCGAGCUGUGUGA
rnacentral:lncRNA from 1 species